rnacentral:rRNA from 1 species
UACGUAGGGUGCAAGCGUUGUCCGGAAUCAUUGGGCGUAAAGCGCGCGUAGGCGGCCCGAUAAGUCCGCUGUAAAAGUCAACGGCUCAACUGUUGAAAGCCCGGUGGAUACUGUCGGGCUAGAGUACGGAAGAGGCAAGUGGAACUCCUGGUGUAGCGGUGGAAUGCGCAGAUAUCAGGAGGAACACCUAUAGCGAAGGCAGCUUGCUGGGACGUUACUGACGCUAAGGCGCGAAAGCGUGGGGAGCGAACAGG